AUUGAACGCUGGCGGCAUGCCUUACACAUGCAAGUCGAACGGUAGAGUAGCAAUACUUGAGAGUGGCGAACGGGUGAGUAAUAUAUCGGAACGUGCCCAGUCGUGGGGGAUAACGUAGCGAAAGCUACGCUAAUACCGCAUACGAUCUAUGGAUGAAAGCGGGGGAUCGCAAGACCUCGCGCGAUUGGAGCGGCUGAUAUCAGAUUAGGUUGUUGGUGAGGUAAAAACUCACCAAGCCGACGAUCUGUAGCUGGUUUGAGAGAACGACCAGCCACACUGGGACUGAGACACGGCCCAGACUCCUACGGGAGGCAGCAGUGGGGAAUUUUGGACAAUGGGCGAAAGCCUGAUCCAGCAAUGCCGCGUGCAGGAAGAAGGCCUUCGGGUUGG
rnacentral:rRNA from 1 species